UUCCCUCAGGCGAAACAUUUCAGACAGAAGGGGAAGCGUCGGGUGACACCACAAAACGGGGUUAAAAUUGCUGUGAUCUCUGUCUGUUUCUCCUACUCCUCCUCCUAUCCUCCUCCUCCUCCUCCUCCCCUCCACUCUCUUUCACUAAACAGGAGGUGCUUUCACUGAAAGGGACAUGAGUAACAGAAUGUAGCACAGCGAAAGUACCAAGGACACCGGACCUGAAGAAGCUUUCGAACGUGACUUCCAGGCUAUCCUUUAGCCCUUUAGUCCCAGGGAUCACGCAGCAACUUCAGUCAGAUGAGGAGGACCUACACAUCUAAAUUCCUCUUUCUUUGGCAUCUUUGAUCCACUAGGAGGUGGCACCACCAUUCGGGAUCUGUUUAAGCAACCGUUCAUCACACUGAACUCUGGUAACCUGUGCCAGCUUCCUUUCUCUCCAACCUGC